rnacentral:lncRNA from 1 species
UCGCAACAAAUAUUAAUUAACCAAAUACGCCGCCAUCUUGGGAGGCCAAAACUGGCUUCAAAAAAUUUGCCGUAUACGCUAUCCAGUUAUAUUUUGAGAUCAGUGGUUUUGAAGUAAUAGAACUUAGUAGAGUACCUAGUACGUCCGAAUAAUACAAGAACGUUGAAAAAAUGUUGCUUUUUAACAAACAAUAUCUAGUAUGUUGGUUUUUAAACAAAAUACAUGGGUGAUUUGAUAUUCUAAACAUAUAAUAGUGUAUUUCUAAGUUUUUUGAAGGUUUCUUCUUGUUGUCCCUGGCCACUAGCAUUAUGUUUUGUUGCAUGUUAUCAGACUUGUAUGGUCACUACUUUUGAAGCCUUUCUGACUGAACAAUACCCAGCUGUUUGUCAUCAAUGCCAUCUAUAUCAUGUGAUGUAACACUGACUGCUAUCACUUUUAAAAAAAAACAGUUAGUUAAAGUCUUCUUCAAUCUGUUUCACUCAUUUAGUACGAAUCAGCAGUGAACUUAUACAGAAAUUAUCAAACAAGUUGGAAGACU